GUAGUUUGACUGGGGCGGUCUCCUCCCAAAGAGUAACGGAGGAGCACGAAGGUACCCUCAGCACGGUUGGAAAUCGUGCAGUGAGUGCAAGAGCAUAAGGGUGCUUAACUGCGAGACAGACACGUCGAGCAGAUACGAAAGUAGGUUCUAGUGAUCCGGUGGUUCUGUAUGGAAGGGCCAUCGCUCAACGGAUAAAAGGUACUCCGGGGAUAACAGGCUGAUACCGCCCAAGAGUUCACAUCGACGGCGGUGUUUGGCACCUCGAUGUCGGCUCAUCACAUCCUGGGGCUGAAGUCGGUCCCAAGGGUAUGGCUGUUCGCCAUUUAAAGUGGUACGCGAGCUGGGUUUAGAACGUCGUGAGACAGUUCGGUCCCUAUCUGCCGUGGGCGUUGGAGAUUUGAGAAGCGCUGCUCCUAGUACGAGAGGACCGGAGUGGACGUACCUCUGGUGUUCCGGUUGUCACGCCAGUGGCAUUGCCGGGUAGCUAUGUACGGACGGGAUAACCGCUGAAAGCAUCUAAGCGGGAAGCCCCCUUCAAGAUGAGAUCUCCCUGAGGCCUUGAGCCUCCUAAAGGACCCAGCAAGACCAGCUGGUUGAUAGGCCGGGUGUGGAAGCGCUGCAAGGCGUUGAGCUAACCGGUACUAAUGGUCCGUGAGGCUUGACCAUAUAACACCCAAAGGGUUUUG
rnacentral:rRNA from 1 species